UACGUAGGGUGCGAGCGUUGUUCGGAUUUACUGGCGUAAAGGGCGCGUAGGCGGCCACCGCAAGUCGACUGUGAAAUCUCCGGGCUUAACCCGGAAAGGUCAGCCGAUACUGCGGGCUAGAGUGCAGAAGGGCAACUGGAAUUCUCGGUGUAGCGGUGAAUGCGUAGAUAUCGAGAGGAACACCUGCGGCGAAGGCGGGUGCUGGGCUGACACUGACGCUGAGGCGCGAAGCUAGGGGAGCGAACGGG
rnacentral:rRNA from 1 species